GCGGGAGUAACUCAGUUGGUAGAGUGACUGCCUUCCAAGCAGUAUGUCGCCGGUUCGAGUCCGGUCUCCCGCU
rnacentral:tRNA from 1 species